GGAAACCAAGCAGGGAUAAUAGCUUUAAUAAGCCACAGAUAAAUAAUUCCCAUUUUACUGUGUCUAGGUGUUUCGAAUCGAGAAGACCAUCUGAAAUAAAAAAGCUUUGUGUCACGAGACCCUAGACUGUGGCCUGGAGCAGCCACUUCCACUUGAGCAGCUAAUAAGUUCCCUACGUAAAAGAGCAAACACCAAGUUCUCAGGCGCUAGGCACCGUGGACAAGGCAGCCAUUAACAGCCCUGUGAGGAUCAGCUGGCCUGGAUGGAGCCCACAGUGGACGCCCUCUUCUACUCGUGCCAGAGAACCGAGGGGACGGCACUGGGACGGACCCUCCCAGGAAGUGAUUAAGGUAAAAUGAAGGUAGGGCCCUGUCCAAUGGCUCUGUGUCCUCCCAAGAGACCCCAGGGCUACUUCACUGCAACCACUCACCAAGGAAAGACCACGUGAGGACACGGAGAAGGGGGUCUUCUCUCAUCAGAAACUGACCCUGGUGGGGCUUGAUCUUGGACUUCUAAUCCCCACAUGGUGAGAAAUACAUCGUGCUGGUUCAGCUGCCCUGUGUGUGGUAUUCUGUUAAAGCAGCCCAGCUGACUAACCCAGGUGGGUGGUGGACGUGGGUGUUCAGAAAGACUGUCACAGCUAGCCACGCUUGUUGACUGGUGGCCUCGGCACCAGCUGACGAGAGCUCGGAUGGCCCUGUUCCCGCCCCUCUGAGCCCUGGCCCUGCCUUCAGCAGCCAGGGCCCGGCAUGUGCUGCCCUGCCUGGAUCCACUCAGCCUCUGGUUCCUGAUCCCAGAAGAGUCCAUGUGCACGCCCCCCAAGACUCCUGUGUGAACAGCAGUGAGCAGCGGCAGCACUCACUCUGUUCUCAGCACUCUCUGUGCGUGAAGCCAUCGAGGAUCACAGGAACCCUGAGGGCUAACCCGCCAAGCUGCUGCUACCCUCCUUUUACAGAGGAAGAAAGCGCCUCAGCAGUGUGGCACGGCUGGUCCAAGGACAGCAGUAGCAAGGGCAGAGACAGCAUCCCGCCUGGGCCCGCGUGCCAGGUCCCCUGCUCAGCACGGUGCUGUCAGGCCAGGGUGGACAGGAGCUUCUGUAGCUCAAGCCCGGGGCCCAGUGAAGUACAAAGCAGGGACCUUCUCUGACCCCUGGGGAAAGUCUCCCGGGAGGUCAAGUCUGAGUGGUGACCUGAAGAUGGUACGGGUGGCUGGGCCGGGUGUCCUGGGGCGUCCUGUGGGAUGGGAGGACCCAGGUGCAGAGGCAGAGGCCCACGCCCUGGAGGGUCUGAGAACUGCGGAGGCUCUCAACAGGACCAGAAAGAUCACCUGGCUACCGCGUGAGGAGUGGGCUGGAGGCCUGGGAUCGGAGCCGCAGCUCGGCCACUGAGGCAGCCGCUGGAGGGACGGCAGCGGGCCCUGAGCAGGUCUGCGGGCGGCUCUGACCCAGGCUUGCAGGCGACUGGGAAUCAUCUGGAAGCGCGGGAGCGGCUCCACCAGACCCUGAGGAAACCCAG